rnacentral:rRNA from 4 species
AACUUUCAACAACGGAUCUCUUGGUUCCGGCAUCGAUGAAGAACGCAGCGAAAUGCGAUAAGUAAUGUGAAUUGCAGAAUUCCGUGAAUCAUCGAAUCUUUGAACGCACAUUGCGCCCCCUGGUAUUCCGGGGGGCAUGCCUGUUCGAGCGUCAUUUC